rnacentral:rRNA from 1 species
UACGAAGGGUGCAAGCGUUAAUCGGAAUUACUGGGCGUAAAGCGUGCGCAGGCGGUUGUGCAAGACCGAUGUGAAAUCCCCGGGCUUAACCUGGGAAUGGCAUUGGUGACUGCACGGCUAGAGUGUGUCUGAGGGGGGUAGAAUUCCACGUGUAGCAGUGAAAUGCGUAGAGAUGUGGAGGAAUACCGAUGGCGAAGGCAGCCCCCUGGGAUAACACUGACGCUCAUGCACGAAAGCGUGGGGAGCAAACAGG